rnacentral:rRNA from 1 species
GACGAACGCUGGCGGCGUGCUUAACACAUGCAAGUCGAACGGAAAGGCCCUGCUUUUGUGGGGUGCUCGAGUGGCGAACGGGUGAGUAACACGUGAGUAACCUGCCCUUGACUUUGGGAUAACUUCAGGAAACUGGGGCUAAUACCGGAUAGGAGCUCCUGCUGCAUGGUGGGGGUUGGAACGUUUCGGCGGUUGGGGAUGGACUCGCGGCUUAUCAGCUUGUUGGUGGGGUAGUGGCUUACCAAGGCUUUGACGGGUAGCCGGCCUGAGAGGGUGACCGGCCACAUUGGGACUGAGAGACGGCGCAGACUCCUACGGGAGGCAGCAGUGGGGAAUAUUGCACAAUGGGCGGAAGCCUGAUGCAGCAACGCCGCGUGCGGGAUGACGGCCUUCUGGUUGUAAACCGCUUUCGCCUGUGACGAAGCGUGAGUGACGGUAAUGAGUAAAGAAGCACCGGCUAACUACGUG